UACGAAGGGGCUAGCGUUGCUCGGAAUCACUGGGCGUAAAGCGCACGUAGGCGGACUCUUAAGUCGGUGGUGAAAUCCUGGAGCUCAACUCCAGAACUGCCUUCGAUACUGAGAGUCUCGAGUCCGGGAGAGGUGAGUGGAACUGCGAGUGUAGAGGUGAAAUUCGUAGAUAUUCGCAAGAACACCAGUGGCGAAGGCGGCUCACUGGCCCGGUACUGACGCUGAGGUGCGAAAGCGUGGGGAGCAAACAGGG
rnacentral:rRNA from 1 species